CUCAACUCAAGCAACCGUGCUUUCAGCCACCACCGCAACCAUGGAUGGAGACCGUGGAUUCAUCAACAUAGAAGAUCUAGAUGUGCCUCGUGGCAAGAUCUUCCAGAAGGAAGUCCUCCGAAGGUUCUGCUCGCUGGUUCAUCACGUCUCUUCUUUGCUCAAAGGUUUUUUUCUUUUGCUGGCGGAUUUUCGACGCUACACUUUCAAGCUCACUGAGCGAUCAGUGGGACUCGCUCUUCAUUCGAUUCUUCAUGGAGCUCCUGCUGGUUUUCUUGUUAAAGAAGAGUCUGAUAGACACUUCGUUUUGAUGUCGCCUCCAAAGUUGUUGGUCUGUUUGUGGUUUCUCUUCGAAGAGUGAUUACUAAGAAGUUUGAUGUUUACUUCUUCCUAUCCUAUGGUGUGAUGGUGGAGCUGAUUGGGAGGAGUAUAGUAUCAGGUCCAAGGAAGAGGGGG
rnacentral:misc_RNA from 1 species